rnacentral:misc_RNA from 1 species
AAGUCGUAACAAGGUUUCCGUAGGUGAACCUGCGGAAGGAUCAUUAACACGUUCCAAAAACGUUCAUAUCAACACCAACCGGUUCAGUGCAACAGUACUCCCUAACAAGAGGGUCAAGCUGCUCUUCGUCUUCUCCAGUGAUAGGUGAGUUCGCAAGGACUCGCGGAGAGACGUUGGGCUAGGGUCUCGAACCCAAGGCUCCUUUUGUUAGGCUUUUUCCCCCCUUUUCUCUAUCACUAACCAACUAACCCUUUUAACCCCUUUAAAACAUUUGACUAAAUCUUUCGAACGAAGAAAUUUGUUUGGAAUUGUAUAUCUAACACUGUACAACUCUUAGCAAUGGAUAUCUUGGUUCUC